rnacentral:rRNA from 1 species
UACGGAGGGUGCAAGCGUUGUCCGGAUUUAUUGGGUUUAAAGGGUGCGUAGGCGGCUUUUUAAGUCAGCGGUGAAAUACUUCAGCUUAACUGGAGGACUGCCGUUGAUACUGGAAGGCUUGAGUACUGAUGAAGUGGGCGGAAUUGAUAGUGUAGCGGUGAAAUGCGUAGAUAUUAUCAAGAACACCGAUUGCGAAGGCAGCUCACUAAGGAGUAACUGACGCUGAGGCACGAAAGCGUGGGUAGCAAACAGG